UACAGAGGGGGGCAAGCGUUUGUUCGGAAUUACUGGGCGUAAAGGGCGCGUAGGCGGCCUUCUAAGUCGAACGUGAAAUCCCCCGGGCUCAACCCGGGGAACUGCGUCCGAUACUGGAAGGCUUGAAUCCGGGGAGAGGUGAGUGGAAUUCCGAGUGUAGAGGUGAAAAUUCGUAGAUAUUCGGAAGAACACCAGUGGCGAAGGCGGCUCACUGGACCGGUAUUGACGCUGAGGUGCGAAAGCGUGGGGGAGCAAACAGG
rnacentral:rRNA from 1 species